GACGAACGCUGGCGGCGUGCUUAACACAUGCAAGUCGAACGAUGAACCCGGAGCUUGCUCCGGUGGAUUAGUGGCGAACGGGUGAGUAACACGUGAGUAACCUGCCCUUGACUCUGGGAUAACUGCGGGAAACUGUAGCUAAUACCGGAUACGACCCUCGGCGGCAUCGCCAGGGGGUGGAAAGAAUUUCGGUCAAGGAUGGACUCGCGGCCUAUCAGCUAGUUGGUGAGGGAACGGCUCACCAAGGCGACGACGGGUAGGCGGCCUGAGAGGGGGACCGGCAACACGGGGACGGGGACACGGCCCAGACUCCUACGGGAGGCAGCAGGGGGGAAUAUUGCACAAGGGGCGCAAGCCUGAUGCAGCACCGCCGCGUGAGGGAUGACGGCCUUCGGGUUGUAAACCUCUUUUAGUAGGGAAGAAGCGAAAGUGACGGUACCUGCAGAAAAAGAACCGGCUAACUACGUGCCAGCCGCCGCCGUAAUAC
rnacentral:rRNA from 1 species